GGGCCUAUAGCUUAAUGGCAAAGCAUCGCUAUCGCAAAGCGAAGAUGCCGGUUCGAUUCCGGCUAGGUCCA
rnacentral:tRNA from 1 species